CCCAUUCCCUGAGGCGCACCCGCCCCACCCUGGCAGCGCCCCAGCCGGCGGGGUGCCCCUCUCACUGGGGGGCGGGCAACGGGGCGGGCGCAGUCGUCUCCCGGUGUUGCUGGGGGGCAGCCGGUGGGGCCAGAGCCCCGCAGCUCGCCGCCCCGGCUUCCCUGGGGGGCUCCGUUUUCGCCGCGGCCCCCUGGGCGCCGAACGCUGCAAGGCGAGCGGGCCCGGCUGGAGGGGCGGUGCGCGGCCCUCGCUUCCAGCCGCCUCGUUAGCGCACAAACAAGACCACAUGAAGAUGACCACUUUGAAAAACUGUCUGAAUGGUAGGCUUUUACAGUCCAUGUGUGAGCUUCUCGAAACUUCCUGCUCAGGUGAUUUGUUAGUGUUCUGUAGUCUGGUAGGUGCACAGCUGUCUGGCUGGUAACAGAUGCACCAACACCACAAGCAGAUUGCUGCCUGAUGGGUUGACAGUUUUUCUCCUUGUCUAUUCACUUAGAACAUCACCAUGUGUUGUCUGUUGGCAGCCUCACUCUUGUGCCUUGGAUGAAAGGUAGCGUAUGCCUAUACUUUGAGCUGGGGAUGCGAUUGUCAGCACGAGAGUCACCCAUGAUAGCUCUGAUUGAACUCGUGUGCUAAAAAAUAGAGUGCAUCCAGGGUGGUGAGGGCGGCUAGUUGCCCUGUGAACAUGCCAGUGUCUUGGAUGGGUACGUAUUCUGGUCAGCCAGCCCCUCCCACUCCUGGGGUUGAUGCAACUAGUUUAUUUUUAGGAUUCUAGCUCGAUAGUUAGCCAACUCCUCAGCCAGAUGUCAACAAAACCAAAUGGACUACCAUCUGUUUAAGCAGCCAUUCUUUGACAGGAGAAAGGGUGUGAGAAAUUUACAUAUUGGCAAAGAAACAGAUGCAGGCUCCCAUCCUCACAGAUUUUUGUCUCCUAAAUCCCAGUUGGAAAUGAUUCUCAAGGAAGAGAAAAAGCUAUAAGAAUGGGAAACAGAUGCCCCAAGUUAUUCCUCCCUUUCUCUUUACCCACAGCAGACACAACACCUGAGGAACAAAGAAACAGCUUUGGAUCUUGUCUGAAAGGAAUUCAGCCAGUAAGACUGCUGAAGCAUGGGCUUCUACAUGAUGUUCCAACUCCUAUACUGGGCAAAAUCCACAUCUGGGAUUAAAUCAUUUUAGCACCAUCAAAAUCAGUGGAGCAUCAGAUGAUUUACAGGAGCUAAGGAUCUGGUCACUAUAUCUAGUUUUACUUUUAGAUCACCUUUACCUCAUUUGGAAUGCACCGUAAGAACGGCUAUACUGGAUUAGACCUAUAGUCCAUCUACCUCAGUAUCCUGUCUUCCAACAGUGGCUGAUGCCAGAUGCUUCAGAGGGAAUGAACAGAACAGGGCAAUUUAUCGAGUGAGCCGUCAUCCAGUCCUAACUUCUGGCAGUCAGAGGUUUAGGGACACCCAGAGAAUGGGGUUGCAUCCCUGACUUUCUUGGCUAAUAGCCACUGAUGGACCGAUUCUCCAUGAAUUUAUCUAAUUCUUUUUUGAACACAGUUAUACUUUUGGCCUUCACGACUGCUCCUUGGCAAGCAGUUCCACGGGUUGACUGUACCAGAUAACAGACAGAUGGAAAACAUUAAAAUGAUUACAAAAGAGGCUCCCAUUAAACACUAUUGACA